rnacentral:pre_miRNA from 1 species
AGUCAGUGGAUGAUUGCAGGAUAUUCCAUCAGUUAUCAGCAGUUGUACCACUGAUUUG